GCACUUGAGAGAAGCCAAACGCACAAGACCCGUUCAGUUGCCCUCCGAAGGCAAAGGUCACACGUUCGAAUCGUGUCGGGUGCGCCA
rnacentral:tRNA from 1 species